AACGAACGCUGGCGGCAGGCCUAACACAUGCAAGUCGAACGCCGUAGCAAUACGGAGUGGCAGACGGGUGAGUAACACGUGGGAACGUACCUUUCGGUUCGGAAUAACUCAGGGAAACUUGAGCUAAUACCGGAUACGUGCGAGAGCAGAAAGAUUUAUCGCCGAAAGAUCGGCCCGCGUCCGAUUAGCUUGUUGGUGAGGUAACGGCUCACCAAGGCGACGAUCGGUAGCUGGUCUGAGAGGAUGAUCAGCCACACUGGGACUGAGACACGGCCCAGACUCCUACGGGAGGCAGCAGUGGGGAAUAUUGCGCAAUGGGCGAAAGCCUGACGCAGCCACGCCGCGUGAGCGAUGAAGGCCUUCGGGUCGUAAAGACUCUGUUGAAUGGGAAG
rnacentral:rRNA from 1 species